GGAGAAAGAGAAGUAUUUAGGAAUUGGCCUGGAAUACAGGAGACCUUUGUUCAGGUUAUGAUGAUAAUAUUGUACAAGUAUGCCAGUCUACCCAGCUGCUGCUCAUUUCACUAUAUUAUCUGAAAUAUGAAAGAGAAGCCAUUUCAAAUGCAUGUUUCUGAAGCCGGAAGAUGUGUCUUCUGUUCUCCAUUCCCUGAUCUGAGAGGAGAUGACUGACAGGAGAAUUUGUUGCAAUUCUUGCUUUAUAUUGACCAGAGAUACUACUGCUGAGUCUCACAAAGGAGUAUCUCCCUACAGUAGUACCUUCAGUUUGUAUUAGCCCUGGAAUGAAAACGGAGCUGUAAUUCAGUAAAGUACUGAGAACUUGGAUAACAUUUGGUAACUCUUAGUCCCAGCAGAGUAUGUAUUUAGGAAUUGUUCAGUGCCUAAAAAGUCAGCAUUACUGAACUUGGGUCAAUAAGAACUGCUAAACAAUAUAUCAAGCAUUGUUCUGCUGCUUAUUUUAUGUGACCUUGUUGUCCUUCCUUUCAGUGAGGAAACUUGAAGAUCACAAAAAAUUCAAUUGAGAAUAUUCCAGUGUUCAGGGCCAGAAGUUUGUGAUUUGCUGUUCAUCAUAAGUUUCUGGACGGAUACCCAUGCUGACCAGCCAAUGUCAUAAAUGUUACACUGCUAAAGUGGAACGUGUCUGCUUUUGCAACUUCUAACCAUCUAUCUGUAUUGCAUGAUAGAAAUACAUAAGCUGGAAACUUCUGGUUACUGCAGAGUUGCAACGCACUGCUUUGAGAAAUACACAAAGCAACUCCACCUCUUGGGCAAAGUAUCUUUCAAGGACAGAACUUCUGAGUAUUGUGUCCAUGAUUUUGACAAAUGGACUAGUUUACACUGGUUAUUUUCAACACAGCAUAAGUAGUAAAUAAAAGUUGUAUACCUGAGCAUGAAACAGUCAUUUUUUUUCUCAGUUGUAAGAGGUAACCUGGCUUCCAAGAAAGAGCCAUUAAGGAAUAGGAAAAUGAUCAUGCAGUGAGUGUAGCAUUAUAAAGAUUAUCGACUGGCCAUUUAGAGCUAUCUCAGAGCUCCUUUGGUUGGGGACAUCCUCAAUUGGAAGCAGAAAGUCUGUACUUCAGUAUGGUUGCAAAGACCUGAAGUUGACAGGUUAGCUACAGCUGGAUAGAUACUGCUGGAUAUGUGGUAGGUGUUCUUCUAGAAUUGUCAGAAAUUAUGCCCUGAACACGUCCUUUUUAUCCCUGGGGCCACUUUCAUUAUUUUCCAGAGGAGAUUCCUCCUUUCCCCCUCCCACCCACCCUCUGCCUUUAAUUCUGUCAUUCCUUUCAUUCACUUUCUUUUGGCAAAGCAGAACAUAGCUGUGUUGUAAAAACCUAGAAGUUGCCACUUCUGGGGGUUCACUGGCAUGAUGGAGGAUUCAGAAGCCCUGAAAGAUGAGCACUGGCAUCUCCAAAAUUGAUGAUUUUGCGGACAGAGUCAGUGAAGUAGUUAUGAUUAAUGGACAUUGGAUUUUCAUUAUUCUGUCAAUGGAAUAACAUGUCCCUUUGGGUCUCUGUGCUUGUGUCUAGUGACAACGGUGAGAGUUUUAUAGGCUGGUAACAAAGAAAUACAAUGCUCUUUCAAGGUCUGUUUUACUAAUACUGAAUUGGCUUUUAGUUUCUCUAGGCUUCUCACAUGUGGCAGUAAUCAACCACCAAAUAUAGCUCAGAAGCAUCUUGGUUAUCUGUAAGGCAAUCUUGCUCUAAAAGAAUUUUUCUUUAACCAACUAGAGAGCAGUGAACUCACUGCUUUAUCUUAUCAGUGUUUAUCUUAUUUUGUAUGGCUUCUUUUAGAAAAUGAGAAAGAAAGUUACUUUG